rnacentral:rRNA from 1 species
UUGUAAUGGAUGUUGGCGUCCUGCCUGUGAAUGGGUGGGGUUUGAGGGGCAUGCUUGUUGGGUUGUGGGGUAUCACAUGUGUGGUGGCCUGUGCGGUGCUGUGUUGCGUGCGUGUGUGCGUGGUGUGGUGUUCGUGUGGUGGUUGAGAACUGUAUAAUGGAUGCGAGUAUCUUUAUUGUUGUAUGUGUUUGUGCGACGUGGUGUUGUGCAAAGUUGUGUAGUGCGAUCGGUGGAUGCCUUGGCACCAAGAGCCGAUGAAGGACGUUGUGACCUGCGAUAAUCCCUGGGGAGUUGGUGAGCGAGCUGUGAUCCGGGGGUGUCCGAAUGGGGAAACCUGGAAUGUCCGGAGUAGUGUCCGGUGGCCCUGCCCUGAAUGUAUAGGGGUGUGGGUGGUAACGCGGGGAAGUGAAACAUCUUACUACCCGUAGGAAAAAAAAACAAGUGUGAUUCCGUGAGUACCGGCCAAACAAAA